rnacentral:rRNA from 1 species
AGCGAACUGCGAUAAGUAAUGCGAAUUGCAGAAUUCAGCGAGCCAUCGAAUCUUUGAACGCACAUUGCGCCCGCCAGCAUUCUGGCGGGCAUGCCUGUCCGAGCGUCAUUUCCUCCCUCACGCAGCGCGCCUGCGUGGUGUUGGGGCGUUCUGCGGUCAGGCCUGCGCCCAGCGCAGGCCGCCGCAGCCCCCGAAAGCCAGUGGCGGGCCGGCAGCGGGCUCCGAGCGCAGUAAGCAUCACGCCCUCGCUCUGGACGCCCCCGCCUGCGCCCUGCCCCCUAGACCGGCAGACGCGAGUCUGCCACCUCCUCAAGGUUGACCUCGGAUCAGGUAGGACUACCCGCUGAACUUAAGCAUAUCAAUAAGCGGAGGAAAAGAAACCAACAGGGAUUGCCCCAGUAACGGCGAGUGAAGCGGCAACAGCUCAGAUUUGGAAUCUGGCCCCCAGGGCCCGAGUUGUAAUCUGGAGAGGAUGCUUCUGGCGCGGCGCCUUCCGAGUUCCCUGGAACGGGACGCCGGAGAGGGUGAGAGCCCCGUACGGUUGGACACCUAGCCUUUGUGAA